ACGAACGCUGGCGGCGUGCUUAACACAUGCAAGUCGAACGAAGAGCGAUGGAAGCUUGCUUCUAUCAAUCUUAGUGGCGAACGGGUGAGUAACGCGUAAUCAACCUGCCCUUCAGAGGGGGACAACAGUUGGAAACGACUGCUAAUACCGCAUACGAUCUAAUCUCGGCAUCGAGGAUAGAUGAAAGGUGGCCUCUACAUGUAAGCUAUCACUGAAGGAGGGGAUUGCGUCUGAUUAGCUAGUUGGAGGGGUAACGGCCCACCAAGGCGAUGAUCAGUAGCCGGUCUGAGAGGAUGAACGGCCACAUUGGGACUGAGACACGGCCCAGACUCCUACGGGAGGCAGCAGUGGGGAAUCUUCCGCAAUGGUCGAAAGUCUGACGGAGCAACGCCGCGUGAGUGAUGACGGCCUUCGGGUUGUAAAGCUCUGUUAAUCGGGACGAAAGGCCUUCUUGCGAACAGUUAGAAGGAUUGACGGUACCGGAAUAGAAAGCCACGGCUAACUACGUG
rnacentral:rRNA from 1 species